rnacentral:rRNA from 1 species
UACGUAGGGGCCUAGCGUUGUCCGGAUUUAUUGGGCGUAAAGAGCUCGUAGGCGGCUUGGUUAGUCAGGUGUGAAAUCUCCACGCUCAACGUGGAGGGGCCACCUGAUACUGCCAUGGCUUGAGUCCGGUAGGGGAGUGUGGAAUUCCCGGUGUAGCGGUGAAAUGCGUAGAUAUCUGGAGGAACACCGGUGGCGAAGGCGGCAUCCUGGACCGACACUGACACUGAGGAGCGAAAGCCAGGGGAGCAAACGGG